ensembl:lncRNA
UAAAACGUCUUAAAGUUCCUGAUGAUAUAUCCUAUACUCUAAUAAAGGUUAUUUAAUGGUUCUUCGUGGCACAAACUUAUUCAUAUUCAAUUUUCACUAUAAAUGCUGUGUUGUCUGUAUGGUUGUUUGGAGAACAACUUGACGUCAGAUAAAAGGUUCUUCAGAAUAACGUAUUGGUUAAUGGAGUCUAAAUCGGUGAUUCCCAACCAUGUCAUUUAAGCAAAAUUGCUAGGACUAUGGAGUACUUAAGAAAAAAAAAAAGAAAGGAAAAAAAAAAGAUUGGGAAUCCCAACAUUAAAAAUAAAUAAAUAAUUACUAGCUAGGGAAGUUACUGUACAAGUAAGCAGCAGCAGAGCUCGACAGCGUUCUGUUUGGAUUCGUAAUCGGUUGAUACGUCGACAAACACAAAGAAACAGAUUGUUCGCUAUCAGCGGUGAUGGUGCGCGGAGGAAGAAUGCGAGCAUGCAGCGAAGUCAAACAAAAGUGCCUCAGAUGAAUAUUCCUGAAACAGAACAGGAUGGACUUGCUAAAACCAAAUCACGCACUCAUCCUGCACCGCGCCAAAUCAGCAUAUUAGAAUGAUUUCUGAAGACUGUGGCACUGAAGAUUGGAAUAAUGGCUACUGGAAAAAAAAA